UACGUAGGGGGCAAGCGUUGUCCGGAAUCAUUGGGCGUAAAGCGCGUGUAGGCGGUCCGGUAAGUCCGCUGUGAAAGUCGGGGGCUCAACCCUCGGAUGCCGGUGGAUACUGUCGGGCUUGAGUACGGAAGAGGCGAGUGGAAUUCCUGGUGUAGCGGUGAAAUGCGCAGAUAUCAGGAGGAACACCAAUUGCGAAGGCAGCUCGCUGGGACGUUACUGACGCUAAGACGCGAAAGCGUGGGGAGCAAACAGG
rnacentral:rRNA from 1 species